rnacentral:rRNA from 1 species
GACAGAGGUGCCAAGCGUUUAGGCGGAAUUACUGGGCGUAAAGCGCACGUAGGCGGAUAUUUAAGUCGGGGGGUGAAAUCCCGGGGCUCAACCCCCGGAACUGCCUUCGAUACUGGGUAUCUUGAGUUCGGAAGAGGUGAGUGGAAUUGCGAGUGUAGAGGUGAAAUUCGUAGAUAUUCGCAGGAACACCAGUGGCGAAGGCGGCUCACUGGUCCGAUACUGACGCUGAGGUGCGAAAGCGUGGGGAGCAAACAGG